rnacentral:rRNA from 1 species
GACGAACGCUGGCGGCGUGCUUAACACAUGCAAGUCGAACGGUGAACCAGAGCUUGCUCUGGGGAUCAGUGGCGAACGGGUGAGUAACACGUGGGCAACCUGCCCAGACUCUGGGAUAACCUCGGGAAACCGAUGCUAAUACCGGAUACGACCACUUCGGACAUCCGACGGUGGUGGAAAGUUUUCGGUCUGGGAUGGGCCCGCGGCCUAUCAGCUAGUUGGUGGGGCAAUGGCCUACCAAGGCGACGACGGGUAGCCGGCCUGAGAGGGCGACCGGCCACACUGGAACUGAGACACGGUCCAGACUCCUACGGGAGGCAGCAGUGGGGAAUAUUGCACAAUGGGCGAAAGCCUGAUGCAGCGACGCCGCGUGAGGGACGACGGCC